UACGUAGGGUGCGAGCGUUGUCCGGAAUUAUUGGGCGUAAAGAGCUCGUAGGCGGUUUGUCACGUCUGCUGUGAAAUCCCGAGGCUCAACCUCGGGCCUGCAGUGGGUACGGGCAGACUGGAGUGCGGUAGGGGAGAUUGGAAUUCCUGGUGUAGCGGUGGAAUGCGCAGAUAUCGAGAGGAACACCUGAGGUGAAGACGGGUUGCUGGGCCGACACUGACGCUGAGUGCGCGAAAGCCAGGGGAGCAAACGGG
rnacentral:rRNA from 1 species